GGGGGGGGGGGGGGGGGGGGGUUGGGGGGGGGGGGGGGGGGGGAGGGGGGGUGGGGGGGCGGGCGGGUGGCGAGGGGGUGAGUAGUGCGUCGGAACGGACCCAGGGGUGGGGGAUAGCGCAGCGAAAGCGGUGCUCAUACCGCAUGUUAUCCGAGGAUGAAAGGGGGGGACCGAGCCGCAAUGGUUGGCCGCGCGCCUUUGGAGCGUCCGUUGUCGGACUACGCAGGGGGUGGUGUAAAGGCCUACCAAGGCGACGAUCCGUAGCUGGUCUUAUAGGACGCACAGCCACACUGGGACUGCGACACGGCCCAGACGCCGACGGGAGGCAGCAGGGGGGAAUUUUGGACAAUGGGCGAAAGCCUGAUCCAGCAAUGCCGCGUGCGGGAAGAAGGCCUUCGGGUUGUAAACCGCUUUUGGCAGGAACGAAACGGUGUCCGCUAAUACCGGGCGCUAAUGACGGGACCUGCAGAAUAAGCACCGGCUAACUACGUG
rnacentral:rRNA from 1 species